UCAAGCGAACAAGUGCAUGUGGUGGAUGCCUUGGCGAUCACAGGCGAUGAAGGACGCGGUAGCCUGCGAAAAGCUACGGGGAGCUGGCAAACGAGCUUUGAUCCGUAGAUGUCCGAAUGGGGAAACCCGGCCCUUUUGGGUCAUCCUGGACUGAAUACAUAGGUCCAGUGAAGCGAACGCGGUGAACUGAAACAUCUAAGUAACCGCAGGAAAAGAAAUCAACCGAGAUUCCCAAAGUAGUGGCGAGCGAAAUGGGAUGAGCCUUGCACUCUUUAUUUGUAUUGUUAGCCGAACGCUCUGGAAAGUGCGGCCAUAGCAGGUGAUAGCCCUGUAGGCGAAAACAGUAUGAAAGAACUAGGUGUGCGACAAGUAGGGCGGGACACGUGAAAUCCUGUCUGAAGAUGGGGGGACCAUCCUCCAAGGCUAAAUACUCGUGAUCGACCGAUAGUGAACCAGUACCGUGAGGGAAAGGCGAAAAGAACCCCGGGAGGGGAGUGAAAUAGAUCCUGAAACCGCAUGCAUACAAACAGUCGGAGCCUCGUAAGGGGUGACGGCGUACCUUUUGUAUAAUGGGUCAGCGACUUACGUUCAGUAGCAAGCUUAACCGUAUAGGGCAGGCGUAGCGAAAGCGAGUCCGAAUAGGGCGUUCAGUUGCUGGGCGUAGACCCGAAACCAGGUGAUCUAUCCAUGGCCAGGAUGAAGGUGCGGUAACACGUACUGGAGGUCCGAACCCACUAACGUUGAAAAGUUAGGGGAUGAGCUGUGGAUAGGGGUGAAAGGCUAAACAAACCUGGAAAUAGCUGGUUCUCUCCGAAAACUAUUUAGGUAGUGCCUCGUGUCUCACCUUCGGGGGUAGAGCACUGUCAUGGUUGGGGGGUCUAUUGCAGAUUACCCCGCCAUAGCAAACUCCGAAUACCGAAGAGUGCAAUCACGGGAGACAGACAUCGGGUGCUAACGUCCGGUGUCAAGAGGGAAACAACCCAGACCGCCAGCUAAGGUCCCCAAAUAUAGCUAAGUGGGAAACGAAGUGGGAAGGCUAAAACAGUCAGGAGGUUGGCUUAGAAGCAGCCACCCUUUAAAGAAAGCGUAAUAGCUCACUGAUCGAGUCGUCCUGCGCGGAAGAUGUAACGGGGCUAAGCUAUAUACCGAAGCUGCGGAUGCGAGCUUGCUCGCAUGGUAGGAGAGCGUUCCGUAAGCCUGCGAAGGUGCCUUGUAAAGGGUGCUGGAGGUAUCGGAAGUGCGAAUGCUGACAUGAGUAGCGAUAAAGGGGGUGAAAGGCCCCCUCGCCGUAAGCCCAAGGUUUCCUACGCAACGUUCAUCGGCGUAGGGUGAGUCGGCCCCUAAGGCGAGGCAGAAAUGCGUAGCUGAUGGGAAGCAGGUCAAUAUUCCUGCACCAUUGUUAGAUGCGAUGGGGGGACGGAUCGCGGAAGGUUGUCCGGGUGUUGGAAGUCCCGGUCGCUGCAUUGGAGAAGGCGCUUAGGCAAAUCCGGGCGCGCAAUUCAAGGGUGUGGCGCGAGCUCCUUAGGGAGCGAAGCAAUUGGAAGUGGUUCCAAGAAAAGCCUCUAAGCUUCAGUCUAACGAUGACCGUACCGCAAACCGACACAGGUGGGCGAGAUGAGUAUUCUAAGGCGCUUGAGAGAACUCGGGAGAAGGAACUCGGCAAAUUGGUACCGUAACUUCGGGAUAAGGUACGCCCUUGUAGCUUGACUGGCCUGCGCCAGGAGGGUGAAGGGGUUGCAAUAAACUGGUGGCUGCGACUGUUUAAUAAAAACACAGCACUCUGCAAACACGAAAGUGGACGUAUAGGGUGUGACGCCUGCCCGGUGCCGGAAGAUUAAAUGAUGGGGUGCAAGCUCUUGAUUGAAGUCCCGGUAAACGGCGGCCGUAACUAUAACGGUCCUAAGGUAGCGAAAUUCCUUGUCGGGUAAGUUCCGACCUGCACGAAUGGCGUAACGAUGGCCACACUGUCUCCUCCCGAGACUCAGCGAAGUUGAAGUGUUUGUGAUGAUGCAAUCUACCCGCGGCUAGACGGAAAGACCCCAUGAACCUUUACUGUAGCUUUGCAUUGGACUUUGAACCGAUCUGUGUAGGAUAGGUGGGAGGCUAUGAAACCGGAACGCUAGUUUCGGUGGAGCCGUCCUUGAAAUACCACCCUGGUUUGUUUGAGGUUCUAACCUUGGCCCGUGAUCCGGGUCGGGGACAGUGCAUGGUAGGCAGUUUGACUGGGGCGGUCUCCUCCCAAAGCGUAACGGAGGAGUACGAAGGUACGCUAGGUACGGUCGGAAAUCGUGCUGAUAGUGCAAUGGCAUAAGCGUGCUUAACUGCGAGACCGACAAGUCGAGCAGGUGCGAAAGCAGGUCAUAGUGAUCCGGUGGUUCUGUAUGGAAGGGCCAUCGCUCAACGGAUAAAAGGUACUCUGGGGAUAACAGGCUGAUACCGCCCAAGAGUUCAUAUCGACGGCGGUGUUUGGCACCUCGAUGUCGGCUCAUCUCAUCCUGGGGCUGUAGCCGGUCCCAAGGGUAUGGCUGUUCGCCAUUUAAAGAGGUACGUGAGCUGGGUUUAAAACGUCGUGAGACAGUUUGGUCCCUAUCUGCCGUGGGCGUUGGAUAUUUGAAGGGGGCUGCUCCUAGUACGAGAGGACCGGAGUGGACGAACCUCUGGUGUACCGGUUGUCACGCCAGUGGCAUCGCCGGGUAGCUAUGUUCGGAAGAGAUAACCGCUGAAAGCAUCUAAGCGGGAAACUCGCCUUAAGAUGAGAUAUCCCUGGAGGCUAGACCUCCUUGAAGGGUCGUUCGAGACCAGGACGUUGAUAGGUCAGGUGUGUAAGCGCAGUAAUGCGUUCAGCUAACUGAUACUAAUUGCCCGUAAGGCUUGAUCC
rnacentral:rRNA from 1 species